rnacentral:rRNA from 1 species
GACGAACGCUGGCGGCGCGCUUAACACAUGCAAGUCGAACGGAAGGGCCCUGCUUUUGUGGGGUGCUCGAGUGGCGAACGGGUGAGUAACACGUGAGUAACCUGCCCUUGACUUUGGGAUAACUUCAGGAAACUGGGGCUAAUACCGGAUAGGAGCUCCUGCUGCAUGGUGGGGGUUGGAAAGUUUCGGCGGUUGGGGAUGGACUCGCGGCUUAUCAGCUUGUUGGUGGGGUAGUGGCUUACCAAGGCUUUGACGGGUAGCCGGCCUGAGAGGGUGACCGGCCACAUUGGGACUGAGAUACGGCCCAGACUCCUACGGGAGGCAGCAGUGGGGAAUAUUGCACAAUGGGCGGAAGCCUGAUGCAGCAACGCCGCGUGCGGGAUGACGGCCUUCGGGUUGUAAACCGCUUUCGCCUGUGACGAAGCGUGAGUGACGGUAAUGGGUAAAGAAGCACCGGCUAACUACGUG